AUGGGGCCACUUGUAUGCAAAUUUUCUUCUCCCUCUGCCACCCCUGUGACAGCAAUACUAACCCCUCCGCUUCCUCCAUCUCCUCAGCCUACUCCACGUGAAGACGAUGAGGAUGAAGACCUUUAUAAUGAUCCAUUUCCACUUAAUGAAUUGAAAGACAUGGAUUAUGAAGGCUCCAGCAUUACUGAAUUUGUACUCGGUUUGCCGAGGUUUGGCUCAGCUCCGCAUCAGGGAGGGCCCAUAUGGAGACUCAAGAUCAGCCUGGACUCUCCGCAUGCUGGAUUCUCAAGGUCCCAGCCUCAGGCCUUACGGGACCAGCGGCUUCCACUUCCUGCUCUGGGAACCUGGACUCUCGGAACCCAAAUGCCAUACUACAAGGAAGCUUCAGCAGCCUCAGAGACACACGUGGGAAGGAGUUACGGUCCCUGGUCAGCAGCCUCUGCGGACAGUCAGCAUUUUGGAGCCAAAUAG
rnacentral:lncRNA from 1 species